GUAUAUGGCCACACCAUCCUGACUGCACCAAAUCUUGUCUGAUCUCAGCAGCUAAGCAGGGUCAGGCCUGGUUAGCACUUGGAUGGGAGACCACCUGGAAAUACCAGGUACUGCAAGCU
rnacentral:rRNA from 1 species